rnacentral:rRNA from 1 species
AACGAACGCUGGCGGCAGGCUUAACACAUGCAAGUCGAACGCCCCGCAAGGGGAGUGGCAGACGGGUGAGUAUCGCGUGGGAAUCUACCUAGUUCUACGGAACAACAGAGGGAAACUUCUGCUAAUACCGUAUACGCCCUAUGGGGGAAAGAUCUAUCGGAAUUAGAUGAGCCCGCGUAAGAUUAGCUAGUUGGUGAGGUAAUGGCUCACCAAGGCGACGAUCUUUAGCUGGUCUGAGAGGAUGAUCAGCCACACUGGGACUGAGACACGGCCCAGACUCCUACGGGAGGCAGCAGUGGGGAAUAUUGGACAAUGGGCGCAAGCCUGAUCCAGCCAUGCCGCGUGAGUGAUGAAGGCCUUAGGGUUGUAAAGCUCUUUCAGUAGGGAAGAUAAUGACGGUACCUACAGAAGAAGCCCCGGCUAACUUCGUGCCAGCCGCCGCCGUAAAAC